UACGUAGGGUGCGAGCGUUGUCCGGAAUUAUUGGGCGUAAAGAGCUUGUAGGCGGUCUGUCGCGUCUGCUGUGAAAAUCCGGGGCUCAACCCCGGACUUGCAGUGGGUACGGGCAGACUAGAGUGUGGUAGGGGAGACUGGAAUUCCUGGUGUAGCGGUGAAAUGCGCAGAUAUCAGGAGGAACACCGGUAGCGGAAGGCGGGUCUCUGGGCAUUAACUGACGCUGAGGAGCGAAAGCAUGGGGAGCGAACAGG
rnacentral:rRNA from 1 species